rnacentral:piRNA from 1 species
UUGCAGCUGAUUGUUUCCAAGGAAUGAAUC